GCCGAGAUAGCUCAGCUGGGAGAGCAACAGACUGAAGUGUUCCAGCUGAAUUCUGGAGGUCGCGUGUUCAAUCCACGCUCUUGGCA
rnacentral:tRNA from 1 species